UCUUCCAUAGGUUAGUGUAGAUAAACCGUCGAUUUGUGGGGUCGAAGAGUCUGGUUUGAUGGGGGAA
rnacentral:tRNA from 1 species